AAGUCGUAACAAGGUUUCCGUAGGUGAACCUGCGGAAGGAUCAUUAGUGAAUUUUAGGGCGUCUACUUGUAGAGCCUGACCUCCACUCUCUAACACUGUGCACAUUUUGGCGGGUUAAGGAAAGACCAGAAAUGGUCCGCCCUAGACCUGCGGCUCAUUUUAUAACACCAGUCAAAGAAUGUAACGAAAUAUCGAAACAAAAAAAAACUUUCAACAACGGAUCUCUUGGCUCUC
rnacentral:misc_RNA from 1 species